rnacentral:rRNA from 1 species
GCCUAACACAUGCAAGUCGAGCGAGGAGAUUCCUCGGGAUGAUCCUAGCGGCGGACGGGUGAGUAACACGUGGGCAACCUGCCUCAUAGAGAGGGAUAGCCUUCCGAAAGGGAGAUUAAUACCUCAUAACAUUGCAGUUUCCCAUGGAACAGCAAUUAAAGGAGUAAUCCGCUAUGAGAUGGGCCCGCGGCGCAUUAGCUAGUUGGUGAGGUAACGGCUCACCAAGGCGACGAUGCGUAGCCGACCUGAGAGGGUGAUCGGCCACAUUGGGACUGAGACACGGCCCAGACUCCUACGGGAGGCAGCAGUGGGGAAUAUUGCACAAUGGGGGAAACCCUGAUGCAAGCAACGCCGCGUGAGUGAUGACGGCCUUCGGGUUGUAAAGCUCUGUCUUCAGGGACGAUAAUGACGGUACCUGAGGAGGAAGCCACGGCUAACUACGUGCCAGCCGCUGC